rnacentral:rRNA from 1 species
GCAGGCUGCAACCCGCCUGCAUGAAGUUGGAAUCGCUAGUAAUCGCGGAUCAGCAUGCCGCGGUGAAUACGUUCCCGGGCCUUGUACACACCGCCCGUCACACCAUGAGAGUCGGGGACACCCGAAGUCCGUAGUCUAACCGCAAGGGGACGCGGCCGAAGGUGGAUUCGAUAAUUGGGGUGAAGUCGUAACAAGGUACC